GAUGAACGCUGGCGGCGUGCCUAAUACAUGCAAGUCGAGCGAACGGACGAGAAGCUUGCUUCUCUGAUGUUAGCGGCGGACGGGUGAGUAACACGUGGAUAACCUACCUAUAAGACUGGGAUAACUUCGGGAAACCGGAGCUAAUACCGGAUUAUAUUUUGAACCGCAUGGUUCAAAAGUGAAAGACGGUCUUGCUGUCACUUAUAGAUGGAUCCGCGCUGCAUUAGCUAGUUGGUAAGGUAACGGCUUACCAAGGCAACGAUGCAUAGCCGACCUGAGAGGGUGAUCGGCCACACUGGAACUGAGACACGGUCCAGACUCCUACGGGAGGCAGCAGUAGGGAAUCUUCCGCAAUGGGCGAAAGCCUGACGGAGCAACGCCGCGUGAGUGAUGAAGGUCUUCGGAUCGUAAAACUCUGUUAUUAGGGAAGAACAUAUGUGUAAGUAACUGUGCACAUCUUGACGGUACCUAAUCAGAAAGCCACGGCUAACUACGUG
rnacentral:rRNA from 1 species